GCCAGGCAUGGUGGCACAUGCCUGUAAUUCCAGUGGCUUAGGAGGCUGAGGAAGGAGGAUCACAAGUUCAAAGUCAGCCCCAGCAAAAGCUAGGCACUAAGUAACUCAGUGAGACCCUGUCUCUA
rnacentral:sRNA from 1 species